rnacentral:misc_RNA from 1 species
AACGCAAGUUGCGCCUGAAGCCAUUAGGUUGAAGGCACGUCUGCCUGGGCGUCACGCAUCCCGUCACCCACCAGCCUUGUCCUUCCAUGGGCACAUGAAUGCGUGGGUGGAUAUUGGCCUCCCGUGCACGUUCGUGCUUGGUUGGUCUAAAAACGCAGUCCCCGACGACGGACAUCACAACUAGUGGUGGUUGUUUAACUGUUGCGUAAUGUUGUGUAUGCCAUUGUUGUUGUGGGUUGUUGCUCCUUUGACCCAAAAGUAACAUACAAAUGUUACCUUGAUUGCGACCCCAGGUCAGGCGGGAUUACCCGCUGAGUUUAA